AUAGGAGAAUAGCAGUCCGGGAAGGUGGGCGAGGCGCCGCGCAGCCGUGGCGUCUAGUCGUCGGCUCCCUGCGGCGGCGAGGUGGGGCCAUGGUAGGAGAUUAGCCGGCUGGGGAGUUGGGCGGGGCACGGCUUCUGCUCGACCGGAUGGGCGGGACAGCUGAGGAGGACCAAGAGGACGAGGAGAAGACGCUCGAGGAGGUGGCCGGAGGAGGACGGCAUGCGGGGAGAAAGGAAAGCAUAACGCCGCCGACGUCUCCGUCGACCUCUCUCUUGGCUACUCCACUCUGUACCGAACUCAUAAGGGUUGUAGUUUGUCAAUCCGUGAGGACCUCAACAAGUAUGCUGAACAGACGGUUAACUACUGUGCCGCGGCUUCGAACAGUAGUGUGCAUGAUUCAUUGGUUUCAUCGGUGAACGUUAUGAACAAGAAGGAACAACAGCUUCUACAUCUGGAGAACAAAUUGGACUAUGUAUGUUCACAACGGUGGUCAGAGUACAGAGAGAAGCACAUAUCUGAUGAUAAAAGACUUGAAGACAAAAACUGCAAAUCUAGGAAAUACCGUACACUUUUAUGGUUCAUGCUAAUAUUGUAUGUAGCUAGAUUACUGAUUCUCACCCUACAGUAAAGAUUAUAUAUGGUGUAAUCCGGUUUUUCAUUCUACAACUAAAUUCAGAUUCAUCAUAAUCUGAAGGUUACACACAGAGAUUUCAUAAUCGCAACUCUUGUCUGAACUAUGGCAGUCAUGCAGAAACUGAAUUACAAAUAUGAUCAGUGCCAACAGAGCAACAAGGUCAA